rnacentral:rRNA from 1 species
AUUGAACGCUGGCGGCAGGCCUAACACAUGCAAGUCGAGCGGAUGAAGGGAGCUUGCUCCUGGAUUCAGCGGCGGACGGGUGAGUAAUGCCUAGGAAUCUGCCUGGUAGUGGGGGAUAACGUCCGGAAACGGGCGCUAAUACCGCAUACGUCCUGAGGGAGAAAGUGGGGGAUCUUCGGACCUCACGCUAUCAGAUGAGCCUAGGUCGGAUUAGCUAGUUGGUGGGGUAAAGGCCUACCAAGGCGACGAUCCGUAACUGGUCUGAGAGGAUGAUCAGUCACACUGGAACUGAGACACGGUCAAGACUCCUACGGGAGGCAGCAGUGGGGAAUAUUAGACAAUGGGCGAAAGCCUGAUCCAGCCAUGCCGCGUGUGUGAAGAAGGUCUUCGGAUUGUAAAGCACUUUAAGUUGGGAGGAAGGGCAGUAAGUUAAUACCUUGCUGUUUUGACGUUACCAACAGAAUAAGCACCGGCUAACUUCGUG